rnacentral:rRNA from 1 species
UACGUAGGUGGCGAGCGUUGUCCGGAUUUAUUGGGCGUAAAGCGCGCGCAGGCGGUGCGGUAAGUCCGCUGUGAAAUCUCCCGGCUCAACUGGGAGGGCGCGGUAGAGACUGCCGGACUGGAGGGACCGAGAGGCCGGUGGAAUUCCCGGUGUAGUGGUGAAAUGCGCAGAUAUCAGGAGGAACACCGGUGGCGAAGGCGGAUCUCUGGGCCAUUACUGACGCUGAGGAGCGAAAGCGUGGGGAGCGAACAGG